UGGUGGUUUUAAGCCCUGGUUUCCAUAAAUAAUAAUUAAAUAAUAACAAGAAUAAUCGUUGGAAGUCCAGCUUUUAAACAUAGGCAACUUAAACUCUAAAAAUAUCUGAAACAAAACAAAAAAAAUGAAAAAAAAUUACUAUUGUAAAAAAAAAUGGAGUUAUUCGAUUUAUGCGGGGAAAAUUACACCCGUGUUGUGUGUGUGUGUGUGCACUGCGUAGUUACUGAUGAAACGAAAUUGAUCAUGCUAGUACCCGUCCGGGUGUCCACUGUCCAAGAAGAAAGUUCAGAACAUCAGAACACCUGGCAAUCCCGGCAUAAAAAUACGUAAUACGUGCUAAGUGAUAAGGUAUAAUAUACAUAUCUACAGUUCGCAAGUUCAGUUAAUUUACUUAUGGUUGUGGCUGCCACUUGUAAAACAUUGAAAACCGACUUCACCUCACUGCAGAGAAGAAAAACGAUUAAAGUAAUUGGAGAAAACUUUGGCUGAAGAUAAAUUGUAAAAACAAAAAGAAACAAUUGUACUGAGUGAAAAAUGUCUUCGAUGAAAUGAAGGAAGAAGAGCAAACUAAUCUCGAAGCUUAUGCAGCGGCCAUACGGAAACUCCAAGCUCUCAGUUAGGGAUGAGUUUCCGACGACUGUGGUGGAGGAGAUAACGCCACUUUGGAAUAUCCGUUAAUGGGUUAAUGGUAUCCACUACAGCUUUGUCUGACAUCGACCGACAGCAAUGCGCUAUGCAGACGGACCAUCGCAAAAAGCAGCUUAAAAUGUAGUCACCUGACAUGAAGAAAACUAAAAGAACAUUUUCCAACGGUAGAAAGCAAGUAGAGAAAUUCGAACAUGAAAUACAAAAUUUUGAGGAUUCAUUUUCGAAAUAGGUAGUUCAGAUUUUAAAUAUUGUAACAAGUGUUGGUCGCGAUCUUCAGAUCGAAAUGAAUCGUAUAAAUUUUCAAGAUGGAUUAAUUGAACAACUGAAAGAAACAGUCAUCAUGGAAUUGAAUCCAUUUCAACAGAAAAUAUUUCGAUCGCAGAGCCCAACGUUAACCAUAAUGCUGUUCGUUGUAAUUCAAUGUGACGAUUCAUGACGGAGGCGUCGACGAAACACAGUGCAGAAUGUACGCGGAAUCAGCCAACAAAACGCUAAAACGGUUACCACGCUGGAGAGUAAAAAAAAUGAAAAAUAUACAGUCAAUCAAUGAUAUACAACUGAAAAUAGCCGAAGCUGAAAUGAUAAGACUGAAAAAGAAAUCGGACAAAAGUUGCGAAACUUUGCAAAAACGCAAACAGGAAUUCGCAGCUUUCCAGUUGGAAAUCGAACACAUUGAGAAAUCCAUUGAGAAUAAUAGUCCCAAUAAAGUUGACGCCGCUACCAAAGCAUUACAUAACCUUGAUGAACAAUAUUGCAUAUAAGGCUAGUCAUGCAAGAAUACGAAGAGAAAAAACGUGUUGCAGCUCAAAUACCUGGUCCACAAAUACGAAUGGAUAGAAACUGAUAAGCAUUUUUCGGCAAGCAAAAAGGAAUCUUUGAUUUUGAAGGAGACAAUUGUUUAAAAAAAUGACGCGCAAGUUCAGUGUUCCUACCUCGAAAACGCAAAAAUCCGUAUUUUCAUCGAAAAAAAAAUCCGAAAGUCGAUAUCACAAACAAGUCAACAUCGAUCAUCGCGUGCAUCCUAGAAUGUUCGAAGCUAAAGGUCGACAAAUCCAGGAACAUAAAACAUAAUGUUGGUGAUAUUCGGCGACGAAGAUGCGGUUGCUGAUUGUGAAGAUGAUCUGUUGACUUUGGAAGAAGAAUCUUCAAAACGUUCAGGAUGACGUGAAAGCGCCAAGUACAGCGGAUAUGAUAUUCGAUGGUGGAAAUACUCGAAAUAAUCGUGACAAACCAGGGUACGUCGUGAAUAAAAUGCCCCUUGUGAACAGAAAGCAGCAGAUAAUUUUUCAAAAAGAUCUUGUACAUUUUAUACGUACAUCGCGUGCGUAGUGAGGACUUUUUGCACGGAUUUAAAUAAAUUGUUAUACAUAGAUGUAACUUGUAUUAUGAAACAAUUUUUUUUGGUACAUUCACUGAUACGAUUUUUUCUUUAUUAAUGAAUAUUUCCUGUGAAGAUUAUUAUGAAGAUACCGAUGUUUGCUUUUUUCAUUUCUUUUCCCUGUGAAAUAAUAGCAUAUGUGAUGUGCACCAUGUAUUUGUCGCCUUAAUAUUUUUUUUAUCUUUCAUUCAUUUUUAAAAAAUGAGGUAAUUACUGUUAUAGUAGGCAGUGAUAUUUCGUUUUAACAGAAUUUUGUCAAGUACUUUAAUCUCACUGCAGUUGUUUUUUUUUGUGAAUCAAACAGAGUUACGCUUUCAAAUGAAAAAAAAAAGAAAAAAAUACACAUUUGAACAAGGUACAUUAAUGAUUGAUUAUUCUUAUUUAGAUGAUUAAUUGAUGUGAAUAUGGAUUAAGAUGUGAGACAAGAUCAUUACAUGCAGGUUUGCAGUGCUAAAUUGUUCUUUGUCGAAAAAUAAAUUUUAUCCAUGUUAGAA